UUUUAAAAAGACUCUGGAACUUUAUUAAAUGAAUGUGGUGGAUCAGGCAAGUAAAUCAUGAGGGAAUAUACAGCUGUGAAGUCAGUGAUGCUGAGGAGACUCUGAUAACCAACACCUUUCUGAGGAGAGAGAAAAGUCAAGUGAACUCAACCAAUGUUGGAGCCAUUAUAGGUGGAGUGGUCAUUUUGGUCGUAGUAGCAGCAGCAGUAGUUUUCCUGGUGUUACACUGUAAAAAGAAAACAGGUCGACAAGAAAACAACAUGAGAGAGUCAAAAGAUGAUGAAAC